rnacentral:tRNA from 1 species
CGCAGGCGGGCGUUGGCUGCCCAGCCGCUGCUCAUAACGGCGGUCCGCCCGGUUCGACACCGGGGCCUGCGAC